rnacentral:rRNA from 1 species
GACGUAGGGCGCGAGCGUUGUCCGGAUUUAUUGGGCGUAAAGAGCUCGUAGGCGGCUUGUCGCGUCGACUGUGAAAACCCGUGGCUCAACCAUGUGGUCUGCAGUCGAUACGGGCAGGCUAGAUUUCGGUAGGGGAGACUGGAAUUCCUGGUGUAGCGGUGAAAUGCGCAGAUAUCAGGAGGAACACCGGUGGCGAAGGCGGGUCUCUGGGCCGAUACUGACGCUGAGGAGCGAAAGCGUGGGGAGCGAACAGG